rnacentral:pre_miRNA from 1 species
AGUGAAGUUUCUGGGCUAUAUGGUAAUUGCAUGAUUCAUUUUAUAAAAAACUGCUGAACUAUUUUCUAAAAUGCCUUUGACAUUUUACAUUUCCACCAGCAAU